CCUACGGGCGGCUGCAGUGAGGAAUAUUGGUCAAUGGCCGAGAGGCUGAACCAGCCAAGUCGCGUGAGGGAAGACGGCCCUACGGGUUGUAAACCUCUUUUGUCGGGGAGCAAAGCGAGUCACGUGUGACUCAUUGAGAGUACCCGAAGAAAAAGCAUCGGCUAACUCCGUGCCAGCAGCCGCGGUAAUUCGGAGGAGGCGAGCGUUAUCGGGAUUUUUUUGGGUUAGAGGGUGGGACGGGGGAGGUGCAAGUCAGCGGUCAAAUUGAGGGGCUCAACCCCGUACUGCCGUUGAAACUGGAUCACUGGAGUGCGCGAGAGGUAUGCGGAAUGCGUGGUGUAGCGGUGAAAUGCAUAGAUAUCACGCAGAACUCCGAUGGCGAAGGCAGCAAACCGGCGCGCAACUGACGCUGAGGCACGAAAGCGUGGGUAGCGAACAGGAUUAGAUACCCGAGUAGUC
rnacentral:rRNA from 1 species